UUCGCUGACUCUUUUCAGACUCAGCCCGCCUGCACCCAGGUGAAAUAAACAGCCAUGUUGCUCACACAAAGACUGUUUGGUGGUCUCUUCACACGGACAUGCAUGAAAUUUGGUGCCGUGACUCGGAUCGGGGGACCUCCCUUGGGAGAUCAAUCCCCUGUCCUCCUGCUCUUUGCUCCGUGAAAAAGAUCCACCUACGACCUCAGGUCCUCAGACCCACCAGCCCAAGGAACAGCUCACCGAUUUUAAAUCGGGAGCUUGCUACACGUGCCGGAAAUCUGACCACCAGGACAAGGAAUGCCCGCAGCCCAGGAUUCCUCCUAAGCCAUGUCCCAUCUGUGCGGGACCCCACUGGAAAUCGGACUGUUCAACUCACCUGGCAGCCACUCCCAGAGCCCCUGGAACUCUGGCCCAAGGCUCUCUGACUGACUCCUUCUCGGCUUAGCAGCUGAAGACUGAUGCUGCCCGAUCGCCUCGGAAGCUCCGUAGACCAUCAUGGACGCCGAGCUUCGGGUAACUCUCACAGUGGAAGAGAAGUUUACAAAACAGGGAGGAAGACUUCUACACCUCACAGCCAGGAUUCCCUGCUCUGGCUCUCGGCUGCUGCCUCAGGGUGAAUCUGUUGCUAGGUCAUCGUGGCAUCUCUGCAGAGUUGAGGUCUCACUAAGUUGCCCAGGCUGGUCUAGAACUCCUGGACUCGAGCAAUCCCCCCGCCUUGGCCUCCCAAAGUGCUGGGCUUACAGACAUGAGCCACCGUGUCCAGCUGACAGGAGGUCUUAACAUCCCUGUUUUUCGGACGAGGAAACUGAGGCGUGGAGAGGUGGAGACUUGCUCAAGAUCAUAGAGCGAAUAAAGGGCAGAGCUGGAGUCUGAAGUCAGUCUGACCGACCAUGAAACUCACAUGUCAUCCUGACACCAUUCCAAUCCUGUGAGGGGAAGAUUCCAGAGCAGACAACUCAGCUGCCUUUGUGGCUGAAACCGAGAGUAAAUGAAGGAAUAUUUAUGAAGUCUCUGCAACUUGCCAGGUGCUUUCACUAUGCAACCCUCCCUGCAGCAGUCCCGAGAAUGUGAUCCUGAGUUUACUUCCGAUGAAAGCAAGGCUCAGAGGGGCCACCUGCCUAAGGGCGUGCAGCUGGAAUGCGGGGAGCCAGGACUCAAGCUCUGGUCUGUCUCAUUCACUUGGAGGCCAGGCCCCUUUCCUCCCUCCCGCUCUGCGUGCAGGAGCUCCGUGGUGGGGCAGCUGCCCCGAGGGAAGGUCCUUCUGACCGCCAGUGUCUGUGGCUGGCUGUCCAGGAAGCAGAGCCAGGACUGGCAGCUUGGGCUCCGAGGACUGCCUCUUCGUUCUGGCUGCCAGGGAGUUUCCAAUCAUCAGAAGAAACAGGCUCUGGGAACAGCUCUGCCACCUGUCCCAGCCCUGCCCCAGCCUCUGAGCAACUGGAGCCCAGAUGCCCUGGCCCACCCUAAGCUAUCCCUAAGCACAGGUGGGCCUGAAGGAGGCUCCCUGCUGGGCAUGGGCGAGGGUCUUGGCCUUCUAUGCGGGACCCUGCCUGCCAGGGGACAGCCUCUUAGGUGGGUGGGAAAGAGCUCUGUACUUGGGGUCACAAAUGUGGCUUCUGGCCCUGCUCCACCAAGGGCCAGUGCGUGAUUUUAAAUAGGUCUCUUCGCCUCUCUGAGCCUUAGUUUCUUGGUCUAUAAAAUGGGACCCUAACCUCUCCUCACUGCGGUGUGGGAGGGAAAAUGAGUCAAGGCAAGAAAGUGCUGGAAACUGAAAGCCCUGGGCAGGACCUGCUCCAUAAUUUGCCAAGUUCAGGGCAAAAAUGAAAAGGUGGGGCCGGGCGCCCUGGCUCACACCUGUAAUCCCAGCACUUUGGGAGACUGAGGCAGGCAGAUCACUUGAGGUCAGGAAUUUGAGAUCAGCUUGGCCAACAUGGGGAAACCCUGUCUGUACAAAAAAUACAAAAAAUUAGCCAGGCGUGCUGGUGCGCCUGUAGUCCCAGCUUUGCAAGAGGCUGAGGUGGGAGGAUGGCUUGAGCCUGGGAGGUGGAGGCUGCAAUGAUCGCGCCACUGUACUCCAGCCUGGGCGACAGAGCGAGACCCGU